AUACUUACCUGGCAGGGGAGAUACCAUGAUCACGAAGGUGGUUUUCCCAGGGCGAGGCUUAUCCAUUGCACUCCGGAUGUGCUGACCCCUGCGAUUUCCCCAAAUGUGGGAAACGCGACUGCAUAAUUUGUGGUAGUGGGGGACUGCGUUUGCGCUCUCCCCUA
ensembl:snRNA U1 U1 spliceosomal RNA